rnacentral:rRNA from 1 species
AUUGAACGCUGGCGGCAGGCCUAACACAUGCAAGUCGAGCGCGAAAGGCUUUCGGGCUGAGUGGAGCGGCGGACGGGUGAGUAACGCGUAGGAAUCUACCUGGUAGUGGGGGACAACUUGGGGAAACUCAAGCUAAUACCGCAUACGCCCUAUGGGGGAAAGCGGGGGACCUUCGGGCCUCGCGCUAUCAGAUGAGCCUGCGUAGGAUUAGCUAGUUGGUGAGGUAAAGGCUCACCAAGGCGACGAUCCUUAGCUGGUCUGAGAGGAUGAUCAGCCACACUGGGACUGAGACACGGCCCAGACUCCUACGGGAGGCAGCAGUGGGGAAUAUUGGACAAUGGGGGAAACCCUGAUUCAGCAAUGCCGCGUGUGUGAAGAAGGCCUUCGGGUUGUAAAGCACUUUCAGUGGAGAAGAAAGGCCCAAGGGUAAUAUUCUUGGGAGUUGACGUUAUCCACAGAAGAAGCACUGGCUAACUCUGUGCCAGCCGCCGCUGUAACAC